rnacentral:rRNA from 1 species
UACGGGGGGGCAAGGCAGUGUUCGGAAUUACUGGGCGUAAAGGGCGCGUAGGCGGUCAGAUAAGUCAGCUGUGAAAACCUCGGGCUUAACCCGAGGCCUGCAGUUGAAACUGUUUGGCUGGAGUGUGGGAGAGGAGAGUGGAAUUCCCGGUGUAGCGGUGAAAUGCGUAGAUAUCGGGAGGAAUACCAGUGGCGAAGGCGGCGACCUGGGCCAAUACUGACGCUGAGGUGCGAAAGCGUGGGGAGCAAACAGG